AACUGAAUUAAUUCUUCUUCCAUUUUCUUUUCAGGUUACAGAUGAGCAUUUUAGAAUAUGGGAUAAGAAGAAGAGAAGAGUGGUGUCAAUAUUAGAGCAAGUCAGUAGCAUCUGGGUACCAACAGUGCACUGUAAUCUUACAGUUUAUGGAACUGCUUUCUUCAGCUAUACCUCUUCUCCUGUAUCAUAAGGGGCUACAGUAAAGUCCUGCCAACAGUUUAAUGCCAUCUUUCUCCUUCAAGAGGAUGUGAACCCAACCUUCUGAGACUGGAGGUGGGAGGAAACAGUGAGAAGAAACCACCACUUUCUCCAUUUUCCAGAAUAACUCAGUAACCUGAUCAUUCAGUGAGGUA
rnacentral:lncRNA from 1 species